rnacentral:rRNA from 1 species
UACGUAGGGUGCAAGCGUUAAUCGGAAUUACUGGGUGUAAAGAGUGCGUAGGCGGUUACGCAAGACAGAUGUGAAAUCCCCGGGCUCAACCUGGGAAUUGCGAUGGAGACUGCAAGGCUAGAAUCUGGCAGAGGGGGGUAGAAUUCCACGUGUAGCAGUGAAAUGCGUAGAGAUGUGGAGGAACACCGAUGGCGAAGGCAGCCCCCUGGGUCAAGAUUGACGCUCAUGCACGAAAGCGUGGGGAGCAAACAGG